AACGCGAAGAACCUUACCUGGGCUUGAACCGCACAGGACCAUCUUUGGAAACAGAGACUUCCCGCAAGGGACCUGUGUAGAGGUGCUGCAUGGCUGUCGUCAGCUCGUGUCGUGAGAUGUUGGGUUAAGUCCCGCAACGAGCGCAACCCUCGUCGAGUGUUGCCAUCAUUAAGUUGGGCACUCACUCGAGACCGCCGUUGAUAAGACGGAGGAAGGUGGGGAUGACGUCAAGUCAGCAUGGCCCUUACGUCCUGGGCUACACACGUGCUACAAUGGCCGGAACAACGGGCAGCCAGACCGCGAGGUCGAGCGAAUCCCAUAAAGCCGUCUCAGUUCGGAUUGCAGGCUGCAACUCGCCUGCAUGAAGUCGGAAUCGCUAGUAACCGCAGAUCAGCUACGCUGCGGUGAAUACGUUCCCGGGCCUUGUACACACCGGAGUA
rnacentral:rRNA from 1 species